AUGAACGCUGGCGGCGUGCCUAAUACAUGCAGGUCGAGCGCACGGACGAGAAGCUUGCUUCUCUGAUGUUAGCGGCGGACGGGUGAGUAACACGUGGAUAACCUACCUAUAAGACUGGGAUAACUUCGGGAAACCGGAGCUAAUACCGGAUGAUAUUUUGAACCGCAUGGUUCAAAAGUGAAAGACGGUCUUGCUGUCACUUAUAGAUGGAUCCGCGCUGCAUUAGCUAGUUGGUAAGGUAACGGCUUACCAAGGCAACGAUGCAUAGCCGACCUGAGAGGGUGAUCGGCCACACUGGAACUGAGACACGGUCCAGACUCCUACGGGAGGCAGCAGUAGGGAAUCUUCCGCAAUGGGCGAAAGCCUGACGGAGCAACGCCGCGUGAGUGAUGAAGGUCUUCGGAUCGUAAAACUCUGUUAUUAGGGAAGAACAUAUGUGUAAGUAACUGUGCACAUCUUGACGGUACCUAAUCAGAAAGCCACGGCUAACUACGUG
rnacentral:rRNA from 1 species